rnacentral:rRNA from 1 species
UAGGGAAUCUUCGGCAAUGGGGGCAACCCUGACCGAGCAACGCCGCGUGAGUGAAGAAGGUUUUCGGAUCGUAAAGCUCUGUUGUAAGAGAAGAACGUGUGUGAGAGUGGAAAGUUCACACAGUGACGGUAACUUACCAGAAAGGGACGGCUAACUACGUGCCAGCAGCCGCGGUAAUACGUAGGUCCCGAGCGUUGUCCGGAUUUAUUGGGCGUAAAGCGAGCGCAGGCGGUUUAAUAAGUCUGAAGUUAAAGGCAGUGGCUUAACCAUUGUUCGCUUUGGAAACUGUUAAACUUGAGUGCAGAAGGGGAGAGUGGAAUUCCAUGUGUAGCGGUGAAAUGCGUAGAUAUAUGGAGGAACAACGGUGGCGAAGGCGGCUCUCUGGUCUGUAACUGACGCUGAGGCUCGAAAGCGUGGGGAGCAAACAGG